rnacentral:rRNA from 1 species
CCUACGGGGGGCAGCAGUGGGGAAUAUUGGACAAUGGGGGCAACCCUGAUCCAGCCAUGCCGCGUGUGUGAAGAAGGCCCUCGGGUUGUAAAGCACUUUCAGUGAGGAAGAACGCCUGGUGGUUAAUACCCAUCAGGAAAGACAUCACUCACAGAAGAAGCACCGGCUAACUCCGUGCCAGCAGCCGCGGUAAUACGGAGGGUGCGAGCGUUAAUCGGAAUUACUGGGCGUAAAGCGCGCGUAGGUGGCUUGAUAAGCCGGUUGUGAAAGCCCCGGGCGCAACCUGGGAACGGCAUCCGGAACUGUCAAGCUAGAGUGCAGGAGAGGAAGGUAGAAUUCCCGGUGUAGCGGUGAAAUGCGUAGAGAUCGGGAGGAAUACCAGUGGCGAAGGCGGCCUUCUGGACUGACACUGACACUGAGGUGCGAAAGCGUGGGUAGCAAACAGGAUUAGAUACCCGGGUAGUC